AUCUUCUCCACCAUGCUCGUCAACGCCUCCAAAAUAUUUACAUAGCUCUUCGGGGCAUUUUUCGGGUUAAAAUAUAUACAAAUUCUUCACAAGGCAUUCUCCGUAUAAAUUUAACUAAAGGACAAUCUCUUACCUCAAAAUUAAACAAAAAUUAAACAAGCAAAACCUAAAGUUUGCCUACCCAAAUAUUCGGCCUGGACAUGCCCCCAGCGAUUGAAAGCAUCAACGCAAGAUAAAGAGCUAAGAAAAUCCAUCCGAACUCAAAUUUUUAUAAUUCUCAUCCCAGCCCGUCUAGUAAUCAUUUACAAAGUCCAUGUUUGUAUUGAACUAACCCCUUGACCAAAUUCCAUUUUUUUUCAUAUAUCAAAUUGUGACAAUUUGCCUUGAAUAAAAAGUAGCAAACAGAACCUUUAACAAACAGCAAUGUAUCACCAGGAAAUCAAACAGAACACUCACAAAAUUAAUCAACAAAGUUGCAUCACCAAGAAACCAAUCACAUGAAACUAAAGAAUAUUAUAUAGAUAGAAGAAGGGUAAGAGUGAACCUUCAAUAAACAAGAACUCUUCCAAUAUUAAGAUGAACCUCCAAUUAGUUCACAACAAUGUCAAACUCCGGCGACUCGGACUUGAACGGGAAAAAUGGAUGGCGUUUAGACCGCGACCAACAAACAGAAAACUCGACAGGCAGCAAUCAAAUUCAAACAGAAUCGCGACUGAAACACGAAUAGCGACUCCCAAAUUUCGAACUCCUACCUCAGCGUUACUCCAUUUUCGAACAAAAUCUGGAAGAAGAGACUUGUUUUUUCUUAAUUUCUUUUUUUUUUCUUUCUGAUUUUAGAAAUGAAACUGAAACUUAAUUGAAACUGAUUCGAUUUUCAGUGGUUAGGAUGGGUUCGGCGCUGUUGUUUUUGGUUGUUCAGAGCAUUGGUCGCCGGCGGAAUUGGGGUGGUCGGGAGUGGACAGAAUGAAGAAGGGGUCGUUGGUGUAUGGCAGCUAUGGAGGAUGGUUGUUUCCCGGUGAGUUCAGGGUGUUCGUUUGGUGGCUGUCCGGCGGGGUUAUGGUGUUGAAGGGGUGUUUUCCGGCGAGGGCUGAAGGGUUUUGGUUUGGGCGGCUUCAGGUGGUUCGUCGUCUGGUCGAAGAAUGAUAUGGGGUGGGAGGGGUGAUCUGCACUGUAGCGGCUGUCUUUCUAGUUUAGGAUUAGGGUUUUUUAUUUUGCUUUUUGUUUAUUGUUGAAGAAGGAGAAGGCAGCCAUGUGAAUCUUGUCUAGGGUUUUCGCUUGUGGUCUUGUGUUCAUCUCCCAAUGAAAAAGAAGACUAGGUUAGGAUUUUGUCUUGUUCAUCUUGGGCCCUUUUUUAUCCAUGGGCUAAGUAAAUUAGUUUGACUGGGCUAAAAAAAAUAAUGGGAUUUUUACCCAUAUACCAAACCUUAUUACCUCUUAUGUUUAAGGUUUGUGUUUAUUACAUUUAAGUACCAAAUUUCAAUGUAUAUACCAUAAUUCAAUUAAGGGUAUAAUUAUUGCUUCAUUUAUUCUA
rnacentral:lncRNA from 1 species